UGGGGAAUAUUGGACAAUGGGGGCAACCCUGAUCCAGCCAUGCCGCGUGAGUGAUGAAGGCCUUCGGGCUGUAAAGCUCUUUUGGGCGGGGACGAUGAUGACGGUACCCGCAGAAUAAGCCCCGGCUAACUUCGUGCCAGCAGCCGCGGUAAGACGAAGGGGGCUAGCGUUGUUCGGAAUUACUGGGCGUAAAGCGAGUGUAGGCGGUUGCCGUAGUCAGGUGUGAAAGCCUUGAGCUCAACUCAAGAAAGUGCACUUGAUACUGGGUGACUAGAGGACCGGAGAGGAUAGUGGAAUUCCCAGUGUAGUGGUGAAAUACGUAGAGAUUGGGAAGAACACCAGUGGCGAAGGCGGCUAUCUGGACGGUUACUGACGCUAAGACUCGAAAGCGUGGGGAGCAAACAGGAUUAGAUACCCUGGUAGUCCACGCCGUAAACGAUGGGUGCUAGACGUUGGCGAGCUUGCUCGUCAGUGUCGCAGCUAACGCGUUAAGGCA
rnacentral:rRNA from 1 species